GAUUAGAAGGUAUUGGAUUCAAAUCCCACCUGCAUUGUCUAACAUUGAGGCCUGUAUCAGGCACCGCUGGUGCUCCACCUCACAGCCUCUCUUCUCUAAGGGGGGGGGGCCUCUUUGACAUCUGAGCAUUGUGUACCUGUUGGAAUUGGCUCCCAGGAAUGUGCAACCUGGAGGGUCUCAGGGCUUAACACCUCACUGGGCAACCUUUGACCAAUGGGGGAUGGUCUCUCAUGGAGACAGUGAGACCUGAUGAUAGCCUCAGAGAAGCAGAGAAAUGCUGACAGGAAAACAUGCGGUGGACAUCCUCCAUGCCA
ensembl:lncRNA